CGAUGAAAAAAUAGUCAAGCAACUACGCGUUAUCAAAGAUUACUCAAAAAGUAGUUAUCAGAUCUCGAUAAAAUUUAUAUGUGACCACAUGAUAAACAUCGGCUUUCGAUUAAAUUAAAAAUUAUCAAAAUCGGUACACCCAGUAAAAAGUUAUUGCGGAUUUUCGAGAGUUUCCCUCGAUUUCUCUGGGAUUCCAUCAUCAGAUCCUGGUUUCCUUAUCAUGGUACCAAACUAGGGAUAUCCCCUUUCCAACAAAAAAAGAAUUAUCAAAAUCGGUACAUCCAGUAGAAAGUUAUGCGGUAUAAUACAACGUAGGUCGACGAAAAAAGUGUCAAGUAAAAACGCAUUAUUAGAUAUAACUCGAAAAGUAGAUCUCAAGAUAGAUCUCAAAUAAAUUUAAAUGGGACCAAUGGACACACACAACCUUUCGAUUAAAAAAAAUUUGUCGAAAUCGGUCCACACGGUCAAAAGUUCUGAUGUAACAUACAUUCAAAAAA
rnacentral:misc_RNA from 1 species